rnacentral:rRNA from 1 species
AACGAACGCUGGCGGCAUGCCUAACACAUGCAAGUCGAACGAGACCUUCGGGUCUAGUGGCGCACGGGUGCGUAACGCGUGGGAAAAUGCCCUUAGGUUCGGAAUAACUCCCCGAAAGGGGUGCUAAUACCGGAUAAAGUCUCCGGACCAAAGAUUUAUCGCCAUUGGAUGGGCCCGCGUUGGAUUAGUUAGUUGGUAGGGUAAAAGCCUAUCAAGGCGACGAUCCAUAGCUGGUUUGAGAGGAUGGUCAGCCACACUGGGACGGAGACACGGCCAAGACUCCUACCGGAUGCAGCAAAGGGUGAUAUUGGACCAUGGGGUGAAGCCAGAACCACUCAUGCCUGUAAAGUUAUUUAAGCCUUAAGGUUGUAAAGCUCUUUUACCCCGGGUUGUUAUGACGUUACCCGGAGAAUAAGCUCCGGCUAACUCCGUG